rnacentral:rRNA from 1 species
UACGUAGGGGGCAAGCGUUAUCCGGAUUUACUGGGUGUAAAGGGAGCGUAGGCGGCCAUGUAAGUCAGAAGUGAAAGCCCGGGGCUCAACCCCGGGACUGCUUUCGAGACUGUGUGGCUGGAGUGUCGGAGGGGUAAGUGGAAUUCCUAGUGUAGCGGUGAAAUGCGUAGAUAUUAGGAGGAACACCAGUGGCGAAGGCGGCUUACUGGACGAUCACUGACGCUGGGGCUCGAAAGCGUGGGGAGCAAACAGG